rnacentral:lncRNA from 1 species
CGCUUCUAGUAGGCCAAACUCCCAGGUGACCCCCGCAAGAAACGCGGUCCGGAGAGGGUCUGGCCCCACUGCUGGGGCAAGGGCUCUAGGCGCCCGGACCCCACGCCCGCAGCCUGCGGAGAACGUGCCGACAAGGACCUGUAGGGCCCCACUCCCCCUCCUCCCUCCCUCGGCGCAGCCCGGCCCAGGGGUCUGUCCUCCCAGGCCCAGGAAAGGAGGAAACCCACUUCCGCCGCGUCCAUGAUCUCCCGCGGCUUCUCCUGACUCUUGCGGCUGGCGCUGGCGCUGGGCAUCGGGACACGGAACUGGGCAGUGGACACCACCCUCCCUCGCAGGCUUCCAAAGUAAUUUGAAGGCCUUCCCUGACUUAAAGUGGAUGCUGCUUUGGAAAGCACUGGAAAAAUGGAUCCUGUCUUUCUUAGCCAAGGACUGGUCUCUUUUCUCCAAUGUGUCCCUAACAGAGUGGUGAGGCUGGCUCUUCCCACCAGUACAGGUGCUAAAAGGAUAAUACCAAGGAAAACUAUGGGUGGGGGCAGUGAAUGGCCAGCAUGCCUAUAAUCCCAGCACUUGAAGCCAGGAGUUCGAGACCAGCCUGGGAAACAAAGCAAGACCCUGUGUCUAAAAAAAUUUUUUUAAAAAUAAGCUGGGCAUGGUGGCACGUGCCUAUAGUCCCAGCUACUCAGCUACUCGGGAGACCAAGCUCUGUUUCUGGCAGGAAUCUGACACCACUUACUCCUUGGGUAGAAACUCCCCCAAGUCUGAACUAUGUGAU